AGCAUAUGCGAAAGUAGAGAGAAUACUAUGAAAAAUCCUCUCUGUCACCUGGUUUCCAUAAUAUCAACACAUGAACAGACUUGUCUCAUUCAUCCCCCCAUUUGCUUCUUCUCAACCCUUGAUUAUUUUGAGAAAAUCUCAGACGUAUCCUUUCAUUUAUAGAUGCUUCAGUGUGUAUCUCCAGAUCUUCUGUGUAUUUUGGUAGUUCUUUCUCCUCUCUACUGACAACUGCCAUUUUUUUCUUGCUGUAAUGUGUUAAUUUUUCUCUUAUAACUUGCUUUCUUAUUUUUACUCAAAAUUAAUUGUUUGGGUUAAAAUUUGAGGAAGGUUCAUCUUGUACGUAUUUAAGAGAAUUUUGUUGGUGAAAAUCCUUAAAGCUUACUUUUAGGAUUGAGGCUUUCUGAAUAAUUGAGCUUCCCACCCUUUGAGUGCUGAAUGACUGUAUUUUCAUCAAGUAUUUAAUAUAUAACUCUUGGAUAAUCAAAACUUUGAUUCCAAGCAUUUUAGUAAGAUAAAACAAACUGUCACUUUUUUCUUACAUAUUUUAACAAAUCAGAAAUAAUGGUUCCUUUUAAUUUUUAUAUAGGAAGAGGCAUAUUUCUACAAAAAAUUGAGAUACCUGAAGAAUGUUCUUUCCUUGUUAAUGUGUAAUUAACAAAAUCAGCAAAAGACUCAUUUUAUGAAUCCAUGAAAGAGAAGUUUUAUAAAUACAAAUUUCCAGCAAGUACACUCUAUAAAUAAAAAUAGAUUUGGUCUUGGUGAAGCUUUGUCUUAUAAAUAAAAAUUAUGUUAAACAUGUAUAAUUUUAAAAUAUGAAGUGAAGAAAGGGUUCCUAGUUUUGGAAAUUGGCAGCAUAUGCAGAAGAUAUGAACAAUAGGUCAAUGAAUAUUGGAUUUACAGCAUUCUUUCCUAAAAUUGAGAGUUUCUGUAAUUUAUAAAUUGGAUAUUUCUUGGCUCAAUUCUUUGUACUAUUCCAUUUGGGUAAAGCUGUUUUUCAGAAGAAUUUAGAACUAUUUUUUUCUUGAUAAAAAGGCAAUGAAAUGAUUUAAGAUUUGUCUGCAAAAUAAUUGCAUGACACAAGGUUUUCAUGGCUAAAAAUAAAGGGUAUUGUUGAUUUGAGGAGUUAGCCAGUGACAGUGAUGCUUAAUGUGUUUGUUCCUCAUGAACUCACAUUUCUGAGUAAACUUUGAAAUAUGAUUAAUAGUUCAGUAGGUCUAAAAAAUGAGAAAUUAAUGAAAUGAGUGACAGAUUUUGUUCACAGUUUAAUGUGUUUUUAGUAGUUGGUUUGUCUGGAGCAUGGAAUGAAAUACUCCAGACGAACCAGUUUUUUUUUAAAUCAAGUGCAAAAUUUUAGGUAUAAAAUCCAUUCGUAAUUCUUUUUUGUUUGUUUGCUUUUUGAGAAAGAGUCUCACUCUGUAGCCCAAGCUGGAGUGCAGUGGUGCAACCUCCACCUCUGGGGCUCAAGCAAUUCUUGUGCCUCAGCCUCCCGAAUAGCUGGGACUACAGGCACACGCCACUACGCCCAGCUAGUUUUUUGUAUUUUAGUAGAAACAGGGUUUCACCGUGUUGCCCAGGGUGGUCUCGAAUUCCUGAACUCAGGAGAUCCUCCCGUCUCAGCCUCCCAAAGUGCUGGGAUUACAGGCGUGAGCCACUGCGCCCAGCCUAUUCAUAAUUCUUUAUAGGGCUUAUUACCAAAGAACAGAAGGCUUUUUAAAAGUCAUCUAUUGUUUAGUGAUUAUUAAAAAUAAGUCUUCUGAUGAGGAUUACAUGUAUCUAACUACUGUAAAAUAGAUUUCAUGUCAGUGCUACAUAAUCAGUAUCUAGGUUCAGUACCUGAAAGUUCAUUUGACCAUGCCUUUUUAUGAUUUUAAUCCUACCAUAGUCAUUUUUGUCCUAUUUGCCAUUCACGGAAAACUUUAUCAGAAUAUAAGUAAAUGAUCUUGAAAACAUUAAUAUUUAUCUUUUUUGUACAUACUAUACAUUUUCUUACCAUACAUAUUAUAUGUUCUCUGACCUCUGGAACAUUAACUCACAAAUUGUUUCCGUUUUCCUUUACCUAGAUUGCAUGUAGAUGUCAAAACUGUGCAAGCACCAAGGAAUGCUAAAUGUUGAGGAAUGGUCAUAGACUUAGCAACCCACAUAUACUGAGAUUGUUUAUGAGAGCCAUUUGGUCUGAGUAACAUGUAUAGGGUAUGACUAAAGUAGGUGGUAAGGCCAAAAAGAGUAAGUGAGGUAAGGUGGGGGUGGGUUAGUGGAUUUAAAAAAGUAAUUUGUAGCUCUACCUUCAGGAAAUGUCAGUGAUUCAACAUUCAAAUCUACCUAAUCAACUGUAUCUUUACUACCUAUAUAAGUUUUGUAUGUGAGAGAAUGAUUCUCAUUUUGUAUAUGUGCAUAUUCAGUCUUCUGAUUCAUAGGUCCUAAAUGCUUUUGUAUUUAUUUAGGCUUAUUUUGAAGCCCAGAAUAUGGUCUUUUGUGGUAAAUGUUCCAUUUGAGCUCUUGAAAAGAAUGUAUAUUCUGGUGGUUUUGGACAGAUUGUGCUGUAACUAUCAAUAAAGUCAAGUUAAUUAAU
rnacentral:lncRNA from 1 species